UACGAAGGGGGCUAGCGUUGUUCGGAUUUACUGGGCGUAAAGCGCACGUAGGCGGACUUUUAAGUCAGGGGUGAAAUCCCAGAGCUCAACUCUGGAACUGCCUUUGAUACUGGAAGUCUUGAGUAUGGUAGAGGUGAGUGGAAUUCCGAGUGUAGAGGUGAAAAUUCGUAGAUAUUCGGAGGAACACCAGUGGCGAAGGCGGCUCACUGGACCAUUACUGACGCUGAGGUGCGAAAGCGUGGGGGAGCAAACAGG
rnacentral:rRNA from 1 species